rnacentral:rRNA from 1 species
UACGUAGGGUGCGAGCGUUAAUCGGAAUUACUGGGCGUAAAGCGUGCGCAGGCGGCGCGUUAAGACAGGUGUGAAAGCCCCGAGCUUUAACUUGGGGAAUUGCGCUUGUGACUGGCGUGCUGGAGUGUGGCAGAGGGAGGUGGAAUUCCACGGUGUAGCAGUGAAAUGCGUAGAGAUGUGGAGGAACACCGAUGGCGAAGGCAGCCUCCUGGGCCAGCACUGACGCUCAUGCACGAAAGCGUGGGGAGCAAACAGG